rnacentral:rRNA from 1 species
CCUACGGGGUGCAGCAGUGGGGAAUAUUGCACAAUGGGGGAAACCCUGAUGCAGCGACGCCGCGUGAGCGAAGAAGUACUUCGGUAUGUAAAGCUCUAUCAGCAGGGAAGAAAAUGACGCUACCUGACUAAGUAGCUCCGGAUAAAUACGUGCCAGCAGCCGCGGUAAUACGUAUGGGGCAAGCGUUAUCCGGAUUUACUGGGUGUAAAGGGAGUGCAGGCGGCUUGGCAAGUCAGAUGUGAAAGGCUGGGGCUCAACCCCAGGAUUGCAUUGGAAACUGUUAGGCUGGAGUGUCGGAGAGGUAAGCGGAAGUCCUAGUGUAGCGGUGAAAUGCGUAGAUAUUAGGAAGAACACCAGUGGCGAAGGCAGCUUACUGGGCGACAACUGACGCUGAGGCUCGAAAGCGUGGGGAGCAAACAGGAUUAGAUACCCCUGUAGUC